GGCGUCAGCGAUAGCACGAUUAAUGCACCAGUUCCCAAAAGUUCACUGAAGUAAAGCAACAUUGUCCGUUGUUAGUAACCAGAUGGGUGAUCAUCUGGACUAGCUACCACGUGCUGACUUUU
rfam:Asian citrus Psyllid, Diaphorina citri - Florida Strain, whole genome shotgun sequence.